GAUGAACGCUGGCGGCGUGCUUAACACAUGCAAGUCGAACGAAGCAUUUAGGAUUGAAGUUUUCGGAUGGAUUUCCUAUAUGACUGAGUGGCGGACGGGUGAGUAACGCGUGGGGAACCUGCCCUAUACAGGGGGAUAACAGCUGGAAACGGCUGCUAAUACCGCAUAAGCGCACAGAAUCGCAUGAUUCAGUGUGAAAAGCCCUGGCAGUAUAGGAUGGUCCCGCGUCUGAUUAGCUGGUUGGUGAGGUAACGGCUCACCAAGGCGACGAUCAGUAGCCGGCUUGAGAGAGUGAACGGCCACAUUGGGACUGAGACACGGCCCAAACUCCUACGGGAGGCAGCAGUGGGGAAUAUUGCACAAUGGGGGAAACCCUGAUGCAGCGACGCCGCGUGAGUGAAGAAGUAUUUCGGUAUGUAAAGCUCUAUCAGCAGGGAAG
rnacentral:rRNA from 1 species